CCCUCCCCCACAGAGCGUCUCCGACCGUCUGCUUGGGAUAGUUUGAAAUCGCGGUUUUGUUCGUCCCACUGGGUGUCCCAAACGAUCUGUCCCUGCAAUCCCCUGGGCUGGCCUACUGUCCAAGUCUCAUUCAGUCUCAAGUCCAGCCCUCUCAAGUCUCAGGUUGCCGGUUCAACAGGGCACCCGGACAAGCGCGCCCUGUGGGGAUUGCUGGGUAGGGCAGCCGCCGCCGCCCCGGCUGCCGGCUUCGCCAGGCAGACCUACUGCCUGGUGUCCCGUGUCUUUUUUAUACUUGGGAGUUUCCCCGUUCUGUGGGCAACAAAGAUCAGUCUGGAUAUGCAGCUCCAACUCACCAUUUGCGGAUUCAACGAGAGCUCCAAUCCUGGCUUGUUCUCACAGUGCCAUCUUGAGUCCUCCCCCAAGAAUGAUACUUUGAACAGUGUCUUCAAAACUGGGAACUUUGAGUUGUUCAUCACUCAGUUGCUGUUUCUUCAACAACUAUCAGUACAGUGCGUUGACGCAAAGAUGAAUAAGAAACGCACCUUUCACGGCUUUAACUUUAGGAGAGAAUCCAGCACAUCACGUAUCUUCAAUAGAUUUUAUAAAUGAAUAAAUAAAUGAACAAAUAAAUCAGUUAAAUUUCUGGGGAUUGAUAUUACC
rnacentral:lncRNA from 13 species